UGCACAUGCAGUAGUAACAGGGAUGUGCAAAUGUACAUUUUAAGGUGGACCUUGAUAAAAAAGAAUUAUAUGCUUUAUCAUGUGCAUGUUUUAAAAUGUUCUAUGAGUUGAGCUCAUGUGACUAUGGAGGAAAACUCCUGACAGCUCACUCUUCCUCUGAGGUCUUCACAUCAAAGCUGAGAUGUUCAUUUUCAUUGUUCAGCUGCAGAUAAGUUUAUGACAUGAUAAGCUUUGGCUUUAGAAGAACAAAGACAGGACACAAAGCGUCGGGUUAGAGUGUGUGUGUUUGUGUUUUGUGUGCAACUUUGUUUUCAGUUCCCAGGUGGUGCUGGAGUUUCUCAGGUGUGCUGGGUGACAGGUGCAACUGAUCUGCUCAUUGCAUCGAGGAGUAUUUAAGCAGGAAGCUGCCAGCAAUUCGAUGCCAGAGUGAUUGCCUUCAGUGGUAACAAGCUCAGCCACUUCUAAGCUAUGCUUCAUUCCUUGUCUCUAAGCUGACUUUGUGUAAGUUCCUUCAAAGGCAGAAACCUGAAUCUUUUGAUUAUCUUUGUUGAACACUGACUUAGGUUCCAGACGUUUCUGGACAAUCACGAUUACCUGCGUUUGGUGGAUUUCGUUUCCAAGAACCAAGCUAGCAACUUCCUGUUAUCAUCCAUCUCCUGAACCAAGACAUAAGCGUACCCUGUCCACCCUCCAACGCAAGUACCUGAACAUUGAACUAAGUCCUGAACUCACCAGAACUCAUUCAACAGCUCAAGUUAAACCAACUGGAGUUCUCCGCUUCGCACACCUGGACCCCGACUCCUUCUACCCCUGGCGACCUGACUGCACUUGUUUAUUGGCGAUUCACCCGUUCACGUUCCAGACUCACUUGCUGUAAAUAAACACCUUCCACUGAUUCA